GUAAUAAGCAAAAAAAUAAAUAAAAAAAAAUCAAUUAUACAUUGUCUUCCUUAUCAUGUUUGAUACAAGAUAAGCAUUAUUUUAAUGAAAACUCUACAGAACAAGAACACUUUCGGUGGCAGUGCAUAUGGAUACAAUCUUAGCUGCAACAGUAAAAAAAAACCAACUCAGUAGCUGAAUAAUUAUGCUUUUCUCUAAGUGUGUUAUCUGUAAAAAUUAAAGCUAGCUCUUGUGUUACUUUGAAGAAAAAUGUAAUGCUGUUACAAGCUGUGGAACACAAGUGAUCUAUUAAAUGCCAAAAGGAGCAUCAAGUAAGUUAGGAUAAAUAUGGUCCUCGAUUACAUUAGCCUUAUCAUGAAUACAAAUAAUUUAGUUGGGCAUGCUGUAACAUAGAUAUUUGAUAAAGGGUCUUUUGAAAGGAGAAUUUCAUUAUUAACUUUCUAUUUAAGAAUUUAACAUAUUUAAACUGCAG